rnacentral:rRNA from 1 species
CGUACACUCCUACGGGAGGCAGCAGUGGGGAAUUUUGGACAAUGGGCGAAAGCCUGAUCCAGCCAUGCCGCGUGCAGGAUGAAGGCCUUCGGGUUGUAAACUGCUUUUGUACGGAACGAAACGGCCUUUUCUAAUAAAGAGGGCUAAUGACGGUACCGUAAGAAUAAGCACCGGCUAACUACGUGCCAGCAGCCGCGGUAAUACGUAGGGUGCAAGCGUUAAUCGGAAUUACUGGGCGUAAAGCGUGCGCAGGCGGUUAUGUAAGACAGUUGUGAAAUCCCCGGGCUCAACCUGGGAACUGCAUCUGUGACUGCAUAGCUAGAGUACGGUAGAGGGGGAUGGAAUUCCGCGUGUAGCAGUGAAAUGCGUAGAUAUGCGGAGGAACACCGAUGGCGAAGGCAAUCCCCUGGACCUGUACUGACGCUCAUGCACGAAAGCGUGGGGAGCAAACAGGAUUAGAUACCCGAGUAGUCCCAUG